UACGUAGGGUGCAAGCGUUGUCCGGAAUUAUUGGGCGUAAAGAGCUCGUAGGCGGUCUGUCGCGUCUGCUGUGAAAAUCCAGGGCUCAACCCUGGACCUGCAGUGGGUACGGGCAGACUAGAGUGCGGUAGGGGAGAUCGGAAUUCCUGGUGUAGCGGUGAAAUGCGCAGAUAUCAGGAGGAACACCGGUGGCGAAGGCGGGUCUCUGGGCAACUACUGACGCUGAGGAGCGAAAGCGUGGGGAGCGAACAGG
rnacentral:rRNA from 1 species